GCCUAUGAUCUACAGUGCCCAUUCCAACUCAGAGAAUCUUUACAUCUGGAGAUCUAUAGCAGGGCUAUCCCUAGUGACAUGCGUGAAGAAGCUUGGAAAUGGUGCUGGGUAGGAGCUGAGUGUGCAGAAUGUGGAAAGGCAUUCUAAACCAAAGGAAGAACACGAGUAAAGAUGAUGAAGCAGGGAUAAGGCUAAAAUGAAAUUUGUGAUCUGAUCCACAUACAAGCACAGUGUAGUACAGCUGGAAUAUAGAGAAGAGCUUGAAGACUUAUGAGCAACUAUCCCGGUACUCUUGGAGGCUCUGCAACCACAGUUUGAGAAACUCCGCGUUCAAAGUUAAAAACUGUCACCUGAAUAGUUAAUAACAUCAAAGAUUGUGAAAGCAAGUAUAAAUAACACAGAGAUUAAAAUAAUGAGGCAGGAUCAGAAAAUGUCCAUUGCAAUCAGAAGCUCACCGAAAGUGCUUAGCUGAGUGGAGAAUGAUUUCUCAGUGUUGUAUUUGCUCUGAAGAGUCUGAAUUCUUGGGGAGGCAGAAGCUGGAAAAAACAAGAAGGAAGAUCUCCCAUAGAUUUUCAAGGUGCUGAGAAAACAGCUUCUAGACAUAUCUCGAAAGCCAAGUUUCUGAGAUGUAAUCAGAAAGCUGUAGUGGAAGGAAAUUUGAACCAGAAGACUGCAGUCCUGUCUAUGAACGUUAAACCUGUGUGGCUUAGGAAACGAGUCUAACCUCUCUGAGCCUCAGUUUGUUCACCUAAAAGAUGGAGAUGAGAGCUCAUUUGUCUCAUUCUCAGGGGUUAUGGUGGCCAUCCAGACAUAAAGAAAUUAGAACGUUCAUUCAUCUGCAGAUGCUCACACAUUCCUACAGGAUGACUGAAACCCACAGCAAAC
rnacentral:lncRNA from 1 species